rnacentral:rRNA from 1 species
GACGAACGCUGGCGGCGUGCUUAACACAUGCAAGUCGAGCGGGAUCCAACCGGUGGCAACACCGGGGAAGAUCUAGCGGCGAACGGGUGAGUAACACGUGAGCAACCUGCCCCGAAGACUGGGAUAACACCGGGAAACCGGUGCUAAUACCGGAUGUCGUCAUUAGGCCGCAUGACCUGAUGAUGAAAGGAUUCAUCGCUUCGGGAGGGGCUCGCGGGCUAUCAGCUUGNGGUGGGGUAACGGCCUACCAAGGCGACGACGGCUAGCUGGUCUGAGAGGACGACUAGCCACACUGGGACUGAGACACGGCCCAGACUCCUACGGGAGGCAGCAGUGGGGAAUCUUGCGCAAUGGGCGAAAGCCUGACGCAGCAACGCCGCGUGGGGGAUGAAUGCCUUCGGGUU